ensembl:snoRNA
AAAUAUGUAAAUCAGGGCUGCGGCCAUGGGCUCUCCAGCUGCAUGCCCCAGCAAUGUGGAGAGACUUUGACAGCUCGGGUCAGCCCAGUACCUGCAGCUGUCACUCGCCUUUCCUAUAGAC